AACGAUGAGGCAAUGGCGUGUAAUAAACGAAAACGUAACUUAGAAACCCCAUUUGCAAAAAUGGCACUUGCCAAAAAUUGUAACUUUAGAAAACCAAUAAUGAUUCAGCUUAUCGAACGUCUUGUCUAGCUAGUGGCACCAAAAAAUAUCCUUUUUUUGGAGAGAAAUGGUUAAUGAUUUAUGUAUAUACAAAUAGGGAGGACCAGGCAGACUAUUUAUUUUGAGAAAAUGAACAUCUUUUAGCUGGUGGCUUAAUAUUACUGACAGCUCCGAUGAUAUUUUGUAAAAUAAAUAUUUUUGGGUUAAUUGUCUGUAAUUGAAACCUGUUUCAAUUUGGAUUACAUAUUAAAAAAACAUUAUUGUAACUACUAAGAAAAUACUUAUGUUCAAAAAAAAAACUACUAAGAAAAUACUUAGCAAAAAGAAAAAACUACUAAAAAAAUAGGGCGUAGAAUAUUAUAAAUACAUCAACGUCGUCCGUACAGUCACGUACAAAGGUUAGCCAAUGAUAUUUCGAAAACGCACCUUCUACUUUUUCUCAUGCUCCAAUCGAAAACUCCCCAGACAAAAAUAUAACUAUUAUUUAUUACAAAGAUAAAUCGUGCUCCACACUUUGGUCUCGAUGUGACCCACGGAAAAUAAAAAUAAAGAUAAAAUUCAAUACAAUACAGCAACUGCUUUUCUUACCCCUUUUAACCUCUUUUUACUUCCUCUUUUAGGUUAAAUCGUUCCUCUAUAUUCACUUUCCUUAUAUAUAUAUUUAGCUAUUUAGGUGUUGAAAUUAUGUUACAAAAAGAACAGAUUCUCCCAUCUUGUCCAGAAACCUACUCC
rnacentral:lncRNA from 1 species